rnacentral:rRNA from 1 species
AUUGAACGCUGGCGGCAUGCCUUACACAUGCAAGUCGAACGGCAGCACGGACUUCGGUCUGGUGGCGAGUGGCGAACGGGUGAGUAAUGUAUCGGAACGUACCUUUCAGUGGGGGAUAACGUAGCGAAAGUUACGCUAAUACCGCAUAUUCUGUGAGCAGGAAAGCAGGGGAUCGCAAGACCUUGCGCUGAUUGAGCGGCCGAUAUCAGAUUAGCUAGUUGGUGGGGUAAAGGCCUACCAAGGCUACGAUCUGUAGCGGGUCUGAGAGGAUGAUCCGCCACACUGGAACUGAGACACGGUCCAGACUCCUACGGGAGGCAGCAGUGGGGAAUUUUGGACAAUGGGGGCAACCCUGAUCCAGCCAUGCCGCGUGAGUGAAGAAGGCCUUCGGGUUGUAAAGCUCUUUCGGCCGGGAAGAAAUCGCAUAGGCUAAUACCCUGUGUGGAUGACGGUACCGGAAUAAGAAGCACCGGCUAACUACGUGCCAGCCGCCGCAGUAA